ensembl:lncRNA
AGCAAAUCUGCAUACGAGUAAUGAUGUUGAAAAUUCAGCUUUGUGUCACAGGAAUAAAUUAUAUUUUAAAUGAUAUUAUAAUAAAAACAUGCUAUUUAAAAUUGUAAUAAUAUUUUACAAUAUAACAAUUUUUUAUGUAUUUUUGAUCAAAUAAAUACAGCCAUGGUGUCUGUUAGCAAUUACACAAAACUGAGGAGUUAUGUUAUUAAAUAUUAAAAUGAUUAAAUAACAAACAUUUAAGCAUUUAGCUAACAAUGCCAAGGUUAAAUUCCCAGGGAAUGCAAAAAGUGUCAAAUGUACACCUUGAAAGAAGCGCAAGUCACUUUGAAUUAAAAACAUCUGCAAUAUUCAUAAAUGUAGAUUAAAUACAUUGAUAGCAAUGGUGAUUUAAAAAGUCAAUCUAUCAUUCAAGCUAAAGUGUCUAACAGGUUUUUUUUUUCUUUUCUUUUUUUUUUUCAGAGGCAAAGUGAGGACACACGCCACAUCCAGCGUUGCAACUUUUCAUUAGUUUAACUUAAGAUAACUCACUUGAUAAGAAAUUCAAAUGAAGUCAUUAAAAGUCUCCUCUGGGUUCAGACCAACAAAGGUCUCAUUUGUUUCUUAUCCUCUCUUAGUAAGUCUGCCUCUCUCUUUUUAAGCAGACUCAGUUUUGAAUACCAGACAUUUGUUGUUGCUGGCAUCUCAUACCUAUUAAUCACAGCUGCUUAUCUUGUCAUGCCCGUACAAAAUAGUUGUUUCAUGUUUCUGAAUUAUCUCCUGCAACAUUACUGACAGUAUCCCUGGCAGGAUUCAAGAAGGGGCUAUGGAGGCUAUUAUAUGCAGAUAUCUUGAUACAGAGAGCUGUACAUUUAUGGGAAUUCAUUAAAAUGAGAUGCAGCAUUGGAAAGUAGAUUGUAAAAUCCAGGCUGUUGAGCUGGAGCUCGCUGUAACCUUGUUUAUGCUGCCAUUUCUCUUCCAGACCCAUUCUAAGAACAGAACAAAUCCUUGUGACAAGAAUGCCAUUGCCCUGGAUCUGGAUCUGGAAAACCUGGAUGUUUGGACUCUCAUUCUGACAGCACCCAUUGGAUCCAUUGUGCGCAUCUGUAUUACAAUCUGAUGUAUGAAAAUCCACUUUGGUACAAGAAAAUGUCCAUCUAGCACUCUGCAACAAGCCAUCACUCAAAGUCAGUGGUCCCAGGGGAAUCAGAUACCGUCAGCUCCAAUCCAGCUACACCAGGAUGCCAAUUACCUCUAGUGCAUACAGCUGUACAAAGACACAUAUCGAUCACACAGUUAAGAUGUCAGAUGUAGCCAGAGCUUCCCCUGGGGCUUCCGUUAAUGACUGUGUUUUUCUUGGACUGUUUAUUCAUUGGUUAGCGUCCCGGCAUGAGAACAUUGUGCAUGUUCAUUGGUAAGUGGCGUAGGUUAGCAACACAAUCAAUAAGACGUGGAUUUGAUCCUAAGAGCCUCUUCUGUUUCUCUCGAGAAAAUCAAAUUGGAUUGAGAGAGUCGGGAUAUUGAGAUCUGAUCAAAUCUCUCGGCAUGUUGCUCUUCUCAUUGAUCGGAUUCUCGAGCUGCUCGGACCGGAUGUCAUCCCAUUAGGAGGAGGAAAAACACAGAUUCUUUGGUGGCGGAAACUGAGAAAUAUGAGCGAUGUGUGUCUUUCUAGUUGUCAUUCUUCGAGUGCAUUCUUUCAGACAAAGCAAUGGGCUGUGUUUGAUGAAGUCCUGUUCUACGAUGUCAGUGCUAUUGCUGAGAUCCAAGAGAAGGGAUUGCACAACAGCGGUGUUUAUUCCCCAUGGAAACAAAAUGGGGCAUUUUGCUAGAAAGAAAGUACUGUAUGUAUGCUGAGAUGCAAAAGAUUUAAUUAAACUUCUCAGUGAUGUGCUCUGAUGUGUACUUGCAAGGCUUCACACUGACAUCAACUGAAUGUUUGUCCCACAAAACAAAUGUUGGGAAUUCAGA